GUGCUAGCUUCGGCAGCACAUAUACUAAAAUUGGAAUGAUACAGAGAAGAUUAGCAUGGCUCCUUGUGCAAAGAAAGAUGACACGCAAAAUCGUGAAGCGUUCCCAAUUUUG